rnacentral:rRNA from 1 species
CCUACGGGCGGCAGCAGUGGGGAAUAUUGCACAAUGGGGGAAACCCUGAUGCAGCGACGCCGCGUGAGUGAAGAAGUAAUUCGUUAUGUAAAGCUCUAUCAGCAGGGAAGAAAAUGACGGUACCUGAGUAAGAAGCCCCGGCUAACUACGUGCCAGCAGCCGCGGUAAUACGUAGGGGGCAAGCGUUAUCCGGAUUUACUGGGUGGAAAGGGAGCGUAGACGGCAGUGCAAGUCUGGAGUGAAAGGCGGGGGCUCAACCCCCGGACUGCUCUGGAAACUGUACGGAUGGAGUGCAGGAGAGGUAAGUGGAAGUCCUAGUGUAGCGGUGAAAUGCGUAGAUAUUAGGAGGAACACCAGUGGCGAAGGCGGCUUACUGGACUGUAACUGACGUUGAGGCUCGAAAGCGUGGGGAGCAAACAGGAUUAGAUACCCUAGUAGUC